rnacentral:rRNA from 1 species
UACGGAGGGUGCAAACGUUGCUCGGAAUCAUUGGGCGUAAAGCGCACGUAGGCGGCCUGACAAGUCGGGUGUGAAAGCCCUGGGCUCAACCCAGGAAGUGCACUCGAAACUGCCAGGCUUGAAUAUGGAAGAGGGGUCGCGGAAUUCCCGGUGUAGAGGUGAAAAUUCGUAGUAUCUGGAGGAAUACCGGUGGCGAAAGGCGGCAUCCUGGACCGACAUUGACGCUGAUGAGCGAAAGCUAGGGGAGCAAAACGGG